CCUACGGGGGGCUGCAGUGGGGAAUAUUGGACAAUGGGGGGAACCCUGAUCCAGCCAUGCCGCGUGUGUGAAGAAGGCCCUCGGGUUGUAAAGCACUUUCAGUGAGGAAGAACGCCUGGUGGUUAAUACCCAUCAGGAAAGACAUCACUCACAGAAGAAGCACCGGCUAACUCCGUGCCAGCAGCCGCGGUAAUACGGAGGGUGCGAGCGUUAAUCGGAAUUACUGGGCGUAAAGCGCGCGUAGGUGGCUUGAUAAGCCGGUUGUGAAAGCCCCGGGCUCAACCUGGGAACGGCAUCCGGAACUGUCAAGCUAGAGUGCAGGAGUGGAAGGUAGAAUUCCCGGUGUAGCGGUGAAAUGAGUAGAGAUCGGGAGGAAUACCAGUGGCGAAGGCGGCCUUCUGGACUGACACUGACACUGAGGUGCGAAAGCGUGGGUAGCAAACAGGAUUAGAUACCCUGGUAGUC
rnacentral:rRNA from 1 species